rnacentral:rRNA from 1 species
UACGUAGGGUGCAAGCGUUAAUCGGAAUUACUGGGCGUAAAGCGUGCGCAGGCGGCUAUGCAAGACAGAUGUGAAAAUCCCCGGGCUCAACCUGGGAACUGCAUUUGUGACUGCAUGGCUAGAGUACGGUAGAGGGGGAUGGAAUUCCGCGUGUAGCAGUGAAAUGCGUAGAUAUGCGGAGGAACACCGAUGGCGAAGGCAAUCCCUGGACCUGUACUGACGCUCAUGCACGAAAGCGUGGGAGCAAACGAGGAUAGAAACCCCGAGU